AAGUUCCCCAUUACUAAGGUACCAAGACACGUUUUACCAUUUCACGUUUUAUCGCAUAGAUACCAGGAGUAUAUUACUUAGGUACCGGGAUAUCUUCUAUGUAAGUGGCCUUUGCAAGUGUUUACCAGAUAGGUACCAGUGUUUGUGAUUAGGAGACCGACCAAAACAUCUCCAACGCCAAGAUUUAAAGGCGGCACUGAACCAGAUAUCAUGGAUACAAGAGCGCUGAAGACCAUUAUCGUCGUUUUGGUGCCAGUGCUUGCAGUAGCAGGACAACCUCUGCCAAGCCAGUACGGGAGGAAGUUCGUCGUCAUCUUCACAAAAGGUCUCAACCAAGACGGAGCAGCCCUCAAGCUG